GAAGAAGAACGUAGCGAAAUGCGAUAAGUAAUGUGAAUUGCAGAAUUUAGUGAAUCAUCGAAUCUUUGAACGCAUAUUGCGCCCGCCAGCACUCUGGCGGGCAUGCCUGUUCGAGCGUCAUUUCAACCCUCAGGCCUCGCGUCUGGCGUUGGGGCGCUGCGGCCCUCCCGCAGGCCCCCAAAUUUAGCGGCGGAUUCCCCGCGGCCCUGAGCGCAGUAGAGAGUAAAAACUUUAACGCUCCGGCGGCCGUGGCGCGGUUCUGCCUCUUUCCCAAUAGCGCCAAUAGCGCCACCCCCAAAAAAGUUGACCUCGGAUCAGGUAGGACUACCCGCUGAACUUAAGCAUAUCAAUAAGCGGAGGA
rnacentral:misc_RNA from 1 species